UAGGCCAGUGUAUCGAGUGAA
rnacentral:misc_RNA from 1 species